rnacentral:lncRNA from 1 species
AUUGAAAAACUUUCCUGUAUUUCUUAAUAACAAAAUAUUACAAGUUGGGACAUUUAACAGUUGAAGGAUUUACAUUAUCAUUAUGAAUUUAAAGAAAGGAUUUAUAUUCUUUGAAUGUACUAAAUUCAGUUUGGACUGUGUGAAAUAGAAAGUGACUUCUUAAAAAAAAACAUUUUUGUAGUUUUGACUACUUUUAAUACCUAUAUAUAUUGUGAAAUAUUAUGGAAUUUUUACUGAUUGGAUUUAAAUUUGACCAGGACAUAAUUUGGAUUAUUAUUUCAUAUUAGAUUGGAUUUUAUGGCUAGUUAACAUUUUGAAGGGGCAUAAUUUGUGCUUUACGACCAGUCUACACCAUAUUUUGCUGGGAUAAAGUCAAAAUUUGACAGAACUAGAACUUUAGUAAAAGCACAUGACUGUUUCCAAGCGUAAUUUAAAGAGAAAGGUGAAUUGGUAUGCAAUAUUCAGCCAUGUAACAGGGACAUCUUGUGAUACAAGUUAAUGCUUUUAUUUGGAAUACAGAAAAGGAAAUGACCAAAAAUCGUACAAAAAUUGUAUGUAAUUAUAAUAAAUCAAUAACAAAUAAUCAACAGGUAUUUGUAAAAUUUAUAUGCCCCAUAUAAAGGCCCCUCAAAGUAGACUUGUAUACUAAGGUAUCAAGUAUGCUGUAGCCUGACUUUUUGUUUUCAUUCAACAAGGAAAUGCUUACACACAUGCUUUAAUAACGGAUUACAGGGAUCGUCCCGCCAAAAAGUGGUUGGAGGGAGACGUUUUGCAAAUGGAAUGAAAAAUUAAUCUUUUUUAAACAAGGAAUUACUAUACGUAAAAGUAGAUUCCUUUAAUAGACACACCAAGAUUUGAUAAAGAGUUUAUGCCAAAUUGCUUGUACAAAAUACACGUUUAAAACUGGAAGACUUUACUUUGGAGGAAUACACCUGUGAGCGCGGAAGUCAUAUACUUUUACAUAGGGAAGUCAUGUAUCUCGGAGAAAUCUACCAUUUUGCUUGGAAAUCAUUUACCAGGUAGCAGUGACCCUAUAUAGUAUAUACACAUUUCCAGCGAUAUAUCUGCAAUCCUUCAACAUUUGUACGACCAAUCCAUAGAACACUGCAUCACGAUGUGCCCUUAUAUACCAUCUCAUAUAUUCAAUAGCUGAAUGACAAUGUACUUUAUUCUUGUUUUAUUUUGCUGAAUAUGUACAUUGAUGAGACUAUAAUAAUUAAAAUAUAUAUUAUUUCCAAAACUCAUUAUUAACAGUGAAAUACAUUGCCUCUUUGUAACAAAUACUUAUCAGGCGCCUGAUGUACAGGUUAGAAUCUGAU